rnacentral:lncRNA from 1 species
UUUGACCACCAAGUCAGACACUCCAGUGACAAAUUUACUUAUACGAGCUUGGGAAUCUGGCAACAACUCUGGUGCAUACUUAGGUAGCUGGGUGAACUUGAGCCAUUAUUCUUUCACUGACAUAGAGCCCUUCCUAAGGUUCAUGAAUCCUCCACCUUAGCCUCCCUCAUCUCACGGGGAAAGAACUUGUCUAGAAAGGCC